ensembl:lncRNA
CGAGGAGAGGUAACCUUGGCCAGGCAAUUCCUAAAGUUGAAGGGAGGGACCCCUGGUACUCCAGGCAGCCGGGGAAGGGUAAACCGGCCCUGAGGAGGGUGAAGGAGAAGCUCCACUGAAUCCCUACGGCACUAAAGCUUGACCAGAGCUUGUUGGGAGAUGAUAAUCUGAAAACACUUAGCCUGGUAGACAGGAUUCCAGCAUCAACCUACCUAGCAGACCCACCCAAAAUCUAGGUUUGAAAACCAUAUUUUUCUUUUUACGUACCAUUUACAAAAUGUCCUAAAAACUCAUCACAGCCAAAAUAUUUGCUGAAGAAAUCCUCUCUGAGCAUAGUCAUAGACAUCUAAGGUUUAUUCUGAAAAUUUUUAGAAUAAUUUUUGCCAUUGAAAAGGGUUACUCGUUUUUUGCAAUCUCUUUGCCUUAAGGUCCUGGAACUACUUGUUCUUCUCCUGUUUUCUUCCCCUAAGGACUGUAGAAUGCCUGCAUUUAUUUCACAGUGAUAUUUUACUUUACCUUCAGCGUCUCAAUCCAAGUCAUCCCACUGGUGUUGACUCUUCAGUAAAGGAGGCUAUGUCACCUCCUGGGAUAAAUGGUGACUGUUACACUCAAUUACCAGCCCGUGUGGUUUCCUUACCGAUAAUGGAGGAACGGGUUCGACCUGGUCACCAGAGUGGCGUCAAGAAACUGAGACCAUGGCUCUCCAUCCUCCCUGACAUUCCCCAGGAGAAACUGGACAGAAUACCCUCCUUCCAGAAUUCUUAAAUCCACUCCAUUCAUAUAAAAAUCAGUCCGUGCAUAUUAAUGCCCUGGGGCUCCUCCAGAGCCUACAAUCAUUUGGUUACACAAAGCCACUGAGUUCCCUGCCUUAAUGCCUAGUGUGUCCAUAUACUCCACUGCUUAAGCUUUACGUGUUACACUAAUCAUGUAAAUGAUAAUGCCCAUUAUUUGAUUUAUAAUUAAACCCCCUCUAGAUGCCACUGCCCCUCCCUAAAACCACGUCAUGUUUUAAAAUUCUGCAUAGAUAUUUUUAUAAGAAUGCAAAGCUAUGUAUUAUAUUUUUUUCUGCCUACAUAUACUUUUAAAUGCCUUUCCACUGAUCUUAUAUAACCAAAGAGGACCAUCUAGGGCUUUCCUGGGACAGACCCUGCGACCCACCACCACGUCUUCUGACUGCUUCUUUUUUUUUUUUUCUAACUGCUUCCUAUAGGGAGAAAAUCCAGAGCUUCCCAGGCCUCCCUGAGUUAUGGAAACCUGGCUCAAGAAUUACUGACGGAAAGGCUGUGAACAUGUAGUGAGAAAACAGCAUCUGGGCCAGGAGAAUGGGUCACACUGUCAACAGUAAAGCGGCCAUACAUCAGUCACAGAGUCUCCAGGUCCUCUCUGAAGCAUCUAGAUAACGAUAUCUGAUGCACAUGUCCAGAGCUGUUUUACAGAUGCUAAAACCCCCACCAAACAGGAAGUAAAUGACACGAUGGCCAUGGGCACAAGACUCUUGAAUCUACUGAAGUCUGAGGAUGGAUAAUACUAACCCCUGCGAUACCAAGCUGUCCUUCACCAACCAAGCAGAGGACUGUGCACGACCUGGCCACACACGCUGUGAGUCCCUUCCCUCAACUUGCCUUUUAAAGUGCUUUCCUGUAACUCAGCUGGGAGUCUGAGUUUUUUGAGCAUCAGCUGCCGGAAUUCCUUCUUUGGUACCUACAGUCAACGCUGCACUUCCCUUCACAACCUGGUGUCAAUAGAUUGGCUUUACUUUGUGCAGGGGAGUGGAGCCAUGUCAGGCUUCUUACAGGAUACUCCAACUUUCAUUAAAGAAACUUUUAGAUAUACAUUUUGGUAUGGCAAGUGCAAUGGAUAAAAUAUUAGACUCUGAUCCACUCUUAGGAAGGAAUACAACAAUUUACCAUGGCAAAGAAAAUAUGUUCACUCCAUAUCAUAAAAUAUAUGAUAAGAAGAGGUAGACAAGUACUAUUCAAACUAAAAUUAAUGUUAUUUUAAAAAAUAAAAU